GGUGGUUUUCGGGGGACGCACCCUGGAAUCGAGCUCUCUCCUCUCUGGUUCUGGGUGUAUCACUUAAGAACCACA
rfam:Myotis davidii contig98311, whole genome shotgun sequence.